CCCUUAGAUGUCCUGGGCUGCACGCGCGCUACACUGGAAGUUACGGAUUGAGAUACUACCUUGUCCGAAAUGGUCCGGGUAAUCACCUAAAAGCUUGUCAUAAUUGGAAUGGAUUAUUGUAACUAGUAAUCCUGAACGAGGAAUUCCUAGUAAGUCCCAGUCAACAGCUGGUACUGAUUACGUCCCUGCCCUUUGUACACACCGCCCGUCGCACCUACCGAUUGGAUGGUCCGGUGAAGCCUCGGGAUUGUGGUUCUUGCCGCUUUAUUGUGGCGUGACCGCGAGAACUUGUCUAAACCUUAUCAUCUAGAGGAAGGUGAAGUCGUAACA
rnacentral:rRNA from 1 species